AAUGUAAUGCAUACAAUGUUAAUUCAUUGGAUCCCAUUAGAAAUCUGUAAUUAAGCACGCUUGGGCUAGAGUAGUAUUGGGAUGAGUGACCUCUUGAGAAGUCCUAGUAUUUUACAUGC
rnacentral:rRNA from 1 species